UACGUAGGGGGGCAAGCGUUGUCCGGAAUCAUUGGGCGUAAAGAGCGUGUAGGCGGCCCGAUAAGUCCGCCGUGAAAGUCCAGGGCUCAACCCUGGAAAGCCGGUGGAUACUGUCGGGCUAGAGUCCGGAAGAGGCGAGUGGAAUUCCUGGUGUAGCGGUGGAAUGCGUAGAUAUCUGGAGGAACACCGGUGGCGAAGGCGGCAUCCUGGACCGGCAUUGACGCUGAGGCGCGAAAGCUAGGGGAGCAAACGGG
rnacentral:rRNA from 1 species